rnacentral:miRNA from 4 species
AUCAUACAAGGACAAUUUCUUU